ACACGACUACAUUAGAUACCCGCGUAGUCCCAGCCCUAAACGAUGCGCGUUAGGUGUAUCGGUGACCACGAGUCACCGAGGUGCCGAAGGGAAACCGUGAAACGUGCCGCCUGGGAAGUACGGUCGCAAGGCUGAAACUUAAAGGAAUUGGCGGGGAGCACCACAACGGGUGGAGCCUGCGGUUUAAUUGGACUCAACGCCGGAAAACUCAUCGGGAGCGACAGCAGUAUGAUUGCCAGGUUGAUGACCUUGCUUGACAAGCUG
rnacentral:rRNA from 1 species